rnacentral:rRNA from 1 species
UGGGGGAUAUUGCACAAUGGGCGAAAGCCUGAUGCAGCGACGCCGCGUGGGGGAUGAAGGCCUUCGGGUUGUAAACUUCUUUUGCUCUGAACAAGGCAUGCUAAUGGGUGUGUUGAGUGUAGGGGUUGAUUAGCGCCGGCUAACUACGUGCCAGCAGCCGCGGUAAUACGUAGGGCGCGAGCGUUGUCCGGAAUUAUUGGGCGUAAAGGGCUUGUAGGUGGCUGGUUGCGUCUGUCGUGAAAGCUCAUGGCUUAACUGUGGGUUUGCGGUGGGUACGGGCUGGCUUGAGUGCAGUAGGGGAGGCUGGAAUGCCUGGUGUAGCGGUGGAAUGCGCAGAUAUCAGGAGGAAUACCGGUGGCGAAGGCGAGUCUCUGGGCUGUUACUGACACUGAGGAGCGAAAGCAUGGGGAGCGAACAGG